UACGUAGGGUGCGAGCGUUAAUCGGAAUUACUGGGCGUAAAGCGUGCGCAGGCGGUUUUGCAAGCCGGAUGUGAAAUCCCCGGGCUUAACCUGGGAAUGGCAUUUGGGACUGCAAGGCUGGAGUGCGGCAGAGGAGACUGGAAUUCCUGGUGUAGCAGUGAAAUGCGUAGAUAUCAGGAGGAACACCGAUGGCGAAGGCAGGUCUCUGGGCUGACACUGACGCUGAUGCGCGAAAGCUAGGGGAGCAAACGGG
rnacentral:rRNA from 1 species